CCCUUAGAUGUUCUGGGCCGCACGCGCGCUACACUGAUGAACGCAACGAGACGACCUGUACCGAAAGGCAUGGGUAAACUUGUGAAAGUUCAUCGUGAUGGGGAUAGAUUAUUGCAAUUAUUAAUCUUCAACGAGGAAUUCCUGGUAAGCGCGAGUCAUCAGCUCGCGUUGAUUACGUCCCUGCCCUUUGUACACACCGCCCGUCGCUCCUACCGAUUGAAUGGUCCGGUGAAAUCUUCGGAUUGCUGGAUAGGAGGGCAACCACCUAUCUGCGAGAAGUUGCUUGAACCUUAUCAUUUAGAGGAAGGAGAAGUCGUAACA
rnacentral:rRNA from 1 species